rnacentral:lncRNA from 1 species
GGGCAUUUGGGUUGUUUCCAGAUUUUGACUAUUAUGGAUAAAGCUGCUAUGGACAUUUGUGGGCAUAUUUCUGGUCAUAUGAUGAGAAAACUGAGGUCUGCAGACUUAAGGAAUAUGCCUGGAUCACAUAGUUAGUGGCAGAGCUUGGACCAGUCUGAUGUCCUUUUCACUUCAUUCGUCUGUUCCUUCAUUCACCCAACCAUCCAUCCACUUAUCCCACUAUAAGAACUGAACUGACACACCUCCAGGUGGUGUACCUGGGGUAUUUGUCCCCUCCAGUCCCUGUCCCCCAGCCUGGUGCUCUGGGACCUCAUCUGUGGCUGGACCUCUCCUCCGGGUACAAGCUGCCCACAAGCUGCUCCUGCCUUGGAGAGCUGCCGGAAGCCAGGGAAAACCUUGGGAGGACAGAGGCUGCCGAGGAGUUCUCCUCACUUGCUGAGAAUAUUAUAAAAUGCAUAUUUAAAGAUAUUCCGUGUAAAUCACUCACAAGAGGGCUUGGCAUAAAAUAAAUACUCAAAAAAA